rnacentral:rRNA from 1 species
AUGCUGGUGACCAGUCAGGGGACGGAGGUGGAGGAAGGAGUAGCAAGGCUGGUGAUGGGCCAGGGGCCACCAGAGGAUGCAGAAGGGGGACGACGUCGCGCUUCUCGCCACCUCCACAUCCUCCUUAUCAGCGGCGGCGCAACUCCAGCAGGGAAGGGGGACGACGCUGCGCUUCUGAUGCUGGUUCACAUGCAGGUUUCAGAGAGUAGCACCAUGCAUUGCAUGAUGACUGUGGGUGAUCUUUGCAAGACAAUGCUUUUGAGUAUCGUGAAUUAUGGUCAUUCUCAAAAGGUAGAUCUGUUACAUUGA